GCCGCGUGUAGGAAGAAUGCCCUAUGGGUUGUAAACUACUUUUAUACAGGAAGAAACACUGGUAUGUAUACCAGCUUGACGGUACUGUAAGAAUAAGGACCGGCUAACUCCGUGCCAGCAGCCGCGGUAAUACGGAGGGUCCGAGCGUUAUCCGGAAUCAUUGGGUUUAAAGGGUCCGCAGGCGGUCAAUUAAGUCAGAGGUGAAAUNCCAUAGCUCAACUAUGGAACUGCCUUUGAUACUGGUUGACUUGAGUCAUAUGGAAGUAGAUAGAAUGUGUAGUGUAGCGGUGAAAUGCAUAGAUAUUACACAGAAUACCGAUUGCGAAGGCAGUCUACUACGUAUGUACUGACGCUGAGGGACGAAAGCGUGGGGAGCGAACAGGAUUAGAUACCCUGGUAGUCCACGCCGUAAACGAUGGAUACUAGUUGUUGGGAAUUA
rnacentral:rRNA from 1 species